GUGGGGAAUCUUCCGCAAUGGACGAAAGUCUGACGGAGCGACGCCGCGUGAGUGAAGAAGGCCUUCGGGUCGUAAAGCUCUGUCAUCAGGGACGAACGGCCGGUGGAGUGGAAAGCCACCGGAUUGACGGUACCUGAGAAGGAAGCCACGGCUAACUACGUGCCAGCAGCCGCGGUAAUACGUAGGUGGCAAGCGUUGUCCGGAAUUAUUGGGCGUAAAGCGCGCGCAGGUGGGAUCUUAAGUCCAUUUUUAAAGUUCGGAGCUCAACUCCGUGAUGGGAUGGAAUCUGGGAUUCUUGAGUACCGGAGAGGAAAGCGGAAUUCCCCGUGUAGCGGUGAAAUGCGUAGAUAUGGGGAGGAACACCAGUGGCGAAGGCGGCCUGCUGGACGACAACUGACGCUGAGGCGCGAAAGCGUGGGGAGCAAACAGGAUUAGAAACCCGUGUAGUCC
rnacentral:rRNA from 1 species